AGGGCGUUAGCUCAAUUGGUAGAGUAGCGGUCUCCAAAACCGUUGGUUGAAGGUUCAAGUCCCUCACGCCCUGCCA
rnacentral:tRNA from 1 species